GCCUCCGUAGCUCAGGGGAUAGAGCACCGCUCUCCUAAAGCGGGUGUCGCAGGUUCGAAUCCUGCCGGGGGCACAA
rnacentral:tRNA from 15 species